UUUCGAUGAUACGCGAGGAACCGUUACCUGGGCGUCGAACGUAAGAUGACUGUAGGUGAAAGACUUACAUCUCUUCGGAGCAUUUUACGAGGUGCUGCAUGGUUGUCGUCAGCUCGUGCCGUGAGGUGUCGGGUUAAGUCCCAUAACGAGCGCAACCCCUACCUUUAGUUGCCAUCAGGUUAAGCUGGGGACUCUAAAGGAACUGCCUACGCAAGUAGUGAGGAAGGCGGGGAUGACGUCAAAUCAGCACGGCCCUUACGUCCAGGGCUACACACGUGCUACAAUGGCCGAUACAGAGGGCAGCUACCUGGUGACAGGAUGCAAAUCUCCAAAGUCGGUCUCAGUUCGGAUCGGAGUCUGCAACCCGACUCCGUGAAGUUGGAUUCGCUAGUAAUCGCGCAUCAGCCAUGGCGCGGUGAAUACGUUCCCGGGCCUU
rnacentral:rRNA from 1 species